GCCUACGGGACGCAGCAGUGGGGGAUAUUGCACAAUGGGGGGAACCCUGAUGCAGCGACGCCGCGUGGGUGAAGAAGCGCCUCGGCGCGUAAAGCCCUGUCAGCAGGGAAGAAAAUGACGGUACCUGAAGAAGAAGCCCCGGCUAACCACGUGCCAGCAGCCGCGGUAAUACGUAGGGGGCAAGCGUUAUCCGGAUUUACUGGGUGUAAAGGGGGCGCAGACGGCGAUGCAAGCCAGGAGUGAAAGCACGGGGCCCAAACCAGGGACUGCUAUUGGAAGUGCGUGGCUGGAGUGCAGGAGGGGGA
rnacentral:rRNA from 1 species